rnacentral:tRNA from 1 species
UCCCUGGUGGCUUAGACAGUAAAGAAUCCACCUGCAAUGUGGGAGACCUGGGUUCAAUCCCUGGGUUGGGAA